GAAAGCACAGAGCAGGAAGGAGAUUUAGACACGGCUGGUUUACAGCCAGCUUUUUAAAGAGAAUGUCUUGUUGAACAAGUAAUAGUUUUUCCUAGUUAUAAUAUAUUUUAGGAUUGUGUAUGGAAGUAAGAGGAAAAAGAGAAGAUUUAGCCACAGAAGUUUUAUUAGAGAUGAAAAGAUAAGGAAGAGAGGAAACAAAAUUCACCUGAUAAUGUAAGUUCACACUUUCCUAAGAGACAAACAACUUCAUUUGGCAUCAUGUGCUGUGAUCAGAGGACUGCGGCUGGUGGUUCAGGGAUUUGUGACAUCAAGGAAAAACUGAGGCAGUAUAUGGAGAUCUGCUUCCCUGCCGCUGAUGUCACACACCAUCAUGCGGUCUCUUUAUUGCCAAAACACAACCUGGAUCCUGGAUGAUCAUUCAUGGCUGGAUCCUGUUCAUCAUAAUAUGCUUCACCAUUAAUGAUAUCACACACAGUCCUGCUGUAUUUGUCUUGCCAAAGCACAUACUGAGGAGUCUGUUUGACUGAACACGGCUGGAUCCUGUUCAUCAUAAUAUGCUUCACCAUUAAUAAUAUCACACGCCGUCCUGCUGUUUCUGUCGCGCCAAAACACAUACUGAGGAGUCUGUAUGACUGAACACGGCUGGAUCCUGUUCAUCAUAAUAUGCUUCACCAUUAAUGAUAUCACACACCGUCCUGCUAAUUCUGUCUCGCCAAAACACAUACUGAGGAGUCUGAAUGACUG